GUUUUAUGAUGAUAUCCCAUGCGUGUCAUCUGAGCCCCCGUUCUGUCUGCUGCAGCUCUCUGACAUGCGUCCUGCAGGUCAGAACAGUCUGAAGCAGAGGAUUCUGGGACAUAUGAUCACACCAUCCUAUCUGAGAAC